UGAGGUGUAUUUAUCGCGUAUCGCAUAACCGCGUAACCAAUCAGAAGCGAUCUGCUGUUAUAGUUUCGCGUUUUACUGAUUAUUGAUUGGUUAUGCGCUUACGCGAUACGCGGCAAACAUGCCUGAUGGGACUUCACCCUAACUGUAAGGUAAUUAACCUGAAAAGUUCACGCAUAUUUCUUCCAAGUGGCCAAUAAAGCGCAUGGUAAUUAUAUAGUUGAGCUACUUUAAAUCCAAUUUCGAUAAAAUUAGGCUUAAUCGUCAUUGCACGAAAUGAUAGAAUCUGACUGAACGUCGCUCUGCCUCGAGAAUUACGAUCAUUAGAAUCAAGUUACGAUCGAAGUGUUACGAGACUUUAGAGGUUAAGAUAUCUUCAUAUUCUCGAUACUUCGGCCAGAUUUUUUCGUUUUGUGCAAUGACGUGCCGAUUAAGCUUAAUUUUAUCGAAACGGAAUCUAAGGUAGCUGAACUAUAUAAUUACCAAGCACAGCUUUAGUAUCUUUUCGAUUAAACAGUUUCGAGUAUAUAGUUCUUUGUGACAGAAGAAAAUGAUGAGUAGUACCUAUUGUUUUAGUCUUCAUUGAAAUGUGGCUAUUGCGGCUUCAUUCUUCGUGGUUCAUGUGGAAAUGUUCUCAAACAUCACUGUUUCAGCAGUUUUGACGAGAAAGUGCAUGCUAUCAAUGUCAAUGAAAAGUCCGUCGUUACAAUGGUGCAGAGAUAUAACAUUAAUACGGAGCAGGUAGAAGAUGCCCGUGAGAAUGCAGAUGGUAUCUGUGAGGAUAUAGCAGGAGCAAUGCUUCGAACAAGUAGUCCGACGCAAACUACGAUCGACUAACUUCUUAUCGAUCUAGUUCGCGAUCGUAAGAGUUUGUGGGACAGCAGGUUACCUGUCAAAGAAAGGACAAAUUUAAAACGAGACAGACUGUGGG